GAAGAUGAUGAUUUCCUCCUCCCCAGUCUCAUGACUGGGGUGGCUGCAGCCGUGACCCCCCACACCGCCAAGGGCUGCAAUGAGCGAGAGAAGUGCGAGGCGAGGCGGGGCCCUUCGGGUCAGCCUCCAUCGGUGCUGGCAGGGGCCGGCUCGGAAACUUGUGCAGCUGCUGCCCGGGCUCCACUUGGGCUAUGAAUAACUGGAGARCUUUCCAUCACCAGGGCUGUCGGUUCAGAUCAUUAAUGAAGAUGGUAAAUAAAACUGGAGUUARCACCAGUUUCUAGUAAUAACCCUACUGGAUGCCUCCACGCAAGCUGACAGUUCUGUCGUUGAUCACUAUUCAUCACCAAGCCUGAACGUCAGUGUCUCCGUGUGAGGUAAUUUAUAUUCAUUUAACAGCAUUCAUCACAAAAUUGGAUAGAAAGGACCUCAAGAGGCUGYUUUCAGAAAUAUUCCAGAAGUUUCCAGUCUGCUUUUAAACACUGGCAAGGAUAAAGGUUUUGCAGACAAUUCCAGCAUUCCUGAAAGUCUUUGUCCCUGGACUUAUUUCCCUGAGUGGUUGCUUACUGGUGGUCUGUGUUGCCAGAAUAUCUGCGGUGCUAAGCACAACCUCUCAGUGGGGAAAUGCAGAAACUCAGACUUUCAAUGAAAGGAUGAACUUCACCCACUUCCAACUGGACUUUCCCAACCUGCACAAGACUUCUUGUUUUCGAUGGUACAAGAGCACACCAUUGCCAAGGGCAAUGAAGUACCAAGGGCACGAGCUGUMUACUCUGAUGAUUUUUGAGGGAGAACAGGGCUCCAUGCAAAGACCCUUACACUGCAAGGUGAGCUUGGCUAAAUGAAAGCACAUUGAAUGUACAAGGGCCACAAAGCAUUCCCUGUGAUGGGAAACUACAGGGGACCAAUCUACUUCAUCUAAUUUAGAAAUUAUAAGGCAACAUGAUGACAGYGCUGCAGUGGGAAAGAGAUCUCUGCAUGGGGACUUCCAUUUAGGACAAAUGUACAAUCCGGGGGCUAGAAGCAAAGGCAAAACAGAUGURGAGGAGAAAAAAGGUGUCUAAAUAUUGUAUGAAGGUAGCUAACAAAAGAGAAAAAAAGGCUUUUCUAACAACCURAUUAACUCUCCAGACCUUUCAGUCUUUAAGCCAAGACUGGGUGACAUUCUAACAGAUGCAUCUGCAAAUCUGAAAGAAGUUGAGGGCAAGCCUCAGAAAUGACUGGGGUGGUACCCUGGAUCUGUUAUGCAAUAUGUUACAAUUGACGAUCAUAAUGGUCUCUUCUGACCUUAAGCAAUGAAUCCCUGACAUUCAGCUGUGCUCAAGUGUGACACUUUAUUGCACAGCAGUAUUGGAUCAAAACUAGUUGUUAUCAGUGAAUUAAACAGAAAAAUUAAUGUCGUUGCUCCAGCCCCCCUUAUGCUGCUUAAUUUGUCGUUUCUUUAUUUUAUGUUGUCCUUAAAUUUUAGUGUGCUGCAGAUCUAUGUACUGGGCAUGCAGAAGCACAUUACAGGGGUAAUUAUAAGGCAGCUGGAGRGUUUUGGCAGCUGGGAAGGGCAUAACAAGCACUCUUGGCUCUUUGAGAGGCAGUGUGGGUUUGUGGGAGAAGGAUUUUAGCUGAAUGAUAAGAUUGUCAGCAGGGAGAGUCAAAGGGGCUAACAAUAGUGUUUGCAUCAUUUUGGAGUUAACCACUUCCAGAAAAGAACAUCAGUUUGCAGCAAAAUAGAAGCUAUUGUUUACCCUGCAGACUGGUAAUCUCUUGAAUCUUUCAGCAAAGGGCUUUUUUCAAUGCAGCUUGACUGGUUUAAACCCUAAGUCCAGGGUGUUUACAGAGGCUUAUGGCCAAAUGCUUCAGGAAAGCCACUGUCACAACAGUGCUGGGUGCUGUGUGUGCUGUAGGAGUCUGCCCUGGUGCAGAACCGGGAUCCACAUCCACAGUGGUGUAUGGCUGAGGGAGACCUUGCUUCACUUGCUCCAAUUUGCUGCAAUGAGUCUGGCCUGGUGUGUUUGUUCUCCUUUUCCAAGAGUGGACACCGCUGCUCUGCUCCCUUGCUGACUGUGAAGACUUCAACCUUGCAGCCAGGGAAGGGUGGUCCAUGUAGGAACCUGGCUUCAGGAACAGUACAAGUGAAGCUGGGGCCAGGGAGGCAAGAGCUGGAUGCAUAAAUUGCCUCUCCCCAGCAUUUUAGUUGGGAUGAAAGAAACACAUCUCCUGGUCAGGCCGCAUAACUGYGGUUUGAUGAUUCAUACUGUGAAAGGGGAUUGUAGAAUGCGAGCUGGGCUCCUCUUGGGUGACACUUCUUGUGCUGGCAGAGGAGAUGCAAGUGAGCACCUGAGGUGUUCCAACCUGUGGCUGCUCAGUCAGAGGUAAAAGGGACUGAGCACACCAGCACUGCUYUUGUGCUGCUCUACUUGUUAAGAGUGAUAGAGCCCUUACCCUCUGUGACUGUGUCAGUCAAAAUACCCUACUGUGUCUUGUUUCCCAWGAUCAGAAGUCAUUAAGAUAAUUUAUAUUUCAGAAGGACCCAUCAAAGAAACUGUCUUGGUCAUGAUGUGAUCAUCAGGAAGGCGAGAGUGUCUAGCCUCUCUUCUGUGAUUUACUGAUGAUGUGAGGCUGGCUUUCUACUGAGGAACCAGCUUGUGCCUGUCCCUCAAGCUUUCCUGCUUAAUGUCCCUGCCCUGAACCAAGACUGUGCUAAUGUUUCACUAAUGUCUGAGUAGGGAAAAUGUUACAGAACAGUCCCGGGCUUGGUUUUCAGAAGCUAGCAUAACCCUUCACUAUCCCUGGUCAACAUCAUCACAGAGGUGAUUUCCAAGGCGAGCCUUGAACUUCACAUCAGGACCAUUUAUUUUAGCAAAAUCCUCUCUAAGAUGAUCCUACAUUUCCUUAUCCAAACUGAAAAUUUCUCUUUGUUUUUUCUAGUAUAAGCUAUAGUUUGAGUUGCUGAAUAUUGUUGAAGACUGACCCUCCCAAUACAUGCCAGUGAUGGGCAAAUGGAAUCCUAACUUGUAUGUGAUUUUUCCAUCAGAGAAYGAAGUGCUUUGGCAGUCUGGAUCAAAGGCACUGUGUAAAAUUCAGGAUUACUGUUGUUACAGUGAGGUGAGCUCCUGGAAAAAUCAUGUUGACUCCCCUUUUGAGAUUGCCUGUAACGUGGAACCUGUGAUGUCUAAUGGCUGUAUCUCUUACAGGUAUAGACUACAAACAGAAAUUUAUAAUGAAUAAGAAAAUUAUUAUUAUUUUUAGUACCUCAGAACACUAGCUUAUAUGC